UGUGUUUUCCUUAAGCAACCAGAAUCACAAAAGUCAACUAGGUCCAUUUCUAUAAAACCCUCAAACUACUUAUGCAUUUAUUGAAUUCAGGGAAGAAAUGUCAGGUCUGCGAUUUGAUUAGCGUUUCUGAGAUACAACUACUGGCGAUUUGGUUAAAUUGUGCACCUUCCAGCCUUGUGUGAAGACUUUCCAUGUGACCUCUGGGUCGCUCCCUGGAUGGCUAUUUAUUAUAUUUACAGCUAGAGAAGGAGGAAAUUUGCUAAAAAAUAAAACCCAGGGAAAGACCAGUGCUGAGGGGAGCUGUGUGUGAGAGAUUGACGGCACUGCUGUGUUCAUGCGUGCCCCUCGAGGGACAGCUGGCACGUCACGGUCCCUCACAAAAAUACUUGCUUUAGUUUUUGCAGGAGCGGACAUGGAAGAGCUCAUAUUCAUUCAUAACACAGACUUCAAAAUGAUGAAAGGGGCCGGCCUGUUGCCGAGUGGUUGAGUUCGCGUGCUCCACUUCGGUGGCCCAGGGUUUCGCCGGUUCAAAUCCUGGGCGUGGACAUGGCACCGCUCAUCGGGCCACGCUGAGGCGG